AUUCCAGCUCCAAUAGCGUAUAUUAAAGUUGUUGCGGUUAAAAAGCUCGUAGUUGGAUCUCGGUUUCACUCAGGCGGUACACCUUGCGGUGUUCACUGUCUGGGCGGACGUUUCUGUUGGUUCGCUGUUGGUUCUCUUAAUCGAGUGCCAAUUGGUGGCCAGCACGUUUACUUUGAAAAAAUUGGAGUGCUCAAAGCAGGCGUUACAGCCUGAACAUUAGUGCAUGGAAUAAUGGAAUAGGAUCUCGAUUCUAUUUCGUUGGCUUUCGGAGUCGAGGUAAUGAUUAAUAGGGACAGACGGGGGCAUUCGUACUGCGACGUUAGAGGUGAAAUUCUUGGAUCGUCGCAAGACGAACUACUGCGAAAGCAUUUGCCAAGAAUGUUUUCAUUAAUCAAGAACGAAAGUUAGAGGUUCGAAGGCGAUCAGAUACCGCCCUAGUUCUAACCAUAAACGAUGCCAACCGGCGAUCCGUCGUCGUUAAUUGAAUGACUCGACGGGCAGCCUCCGGGAAACCAGAGUGUUUGGGUUCCGGGGGAAGUAUGGUUGCAAAGCUGAAACUUAAAGGAAUUGACGGAAGGGCACCACCAGGAGUGGAGCCUGCGGCUUAAUUUGACCCAACACGGGAAAUCUCACCAGGCCCGGACACCGGAAGGAUUGACAGAUUGAGAGCUCUUUCUUGAUUCGGUGGGUGGUGGUGCAUGGCCGUUCUUAGUUGGUGGAGCGAUUUGUCUGGUUAAUUCCGAUAACGAACGAGACUCUGGCCUACUAACUAGAAGGGUCGUUCUUUACGAGCGGCCCUCUGCUUCUUAGAGGGACGGGCGGCGUUUAGCCGCACGAGAAUGAGCAAUAACAGGUCUGUGAUGCCCUUAGAUGUUCUGGGCUGCACGCGCGCUACACUGAAGGAAUCAGCAUGUUCUCCCCUCCCUGAAAAGGGCGGGUAACCCGUUGAAACUCCUUCGUGAUGGGGAUUGGAGAUUGUAAUUAUUCUCCAUGAACGAGGAAUUCCCAGUAGGCGCGAGUCAUCAGCUUGCGUCGAUUACGUCCCUGCCCUUUGUACACACCGCCCGUCGCUACUACCGAUCGAGUGAUUUAGUGAGGACUUCGGACUGGUCUCCAAGUUGGCUUCGGUCAGCUCGGAGUUCCGGAAAGAUGCCCAAACUUGAUCACUUAGAGGAAGUAAAAGUCGUA
rnacentral:rRNA from 1 species